GUUGGUGUCGAUGACGCUGAGGGUCCACCUGUUCCCAUCCCGAACACAGAAGUUAAGCUCAGUAGUGCCGAAGAUAGUUGGCUGGAAGCGGCCUGUGAAAAUAGGAAGACGCCAACA
rnacentral:rRNA from 2 species